GAUGAACGCUGGCGGCGUGCCUAAUAAAUGCAAGUCGAGCGAACGGACGAGAAGCUUGCUUCUCUGAUGUUAGCGGCGGACGGGUGAGUAACACGUGGAUAACCUACCUAUAAGACUGGGAUAACUUCGGGAAACCGGAGCUAAUACCGGAUAAUAUUUUGAACCGCAUGGUUCAAAAGUGAAAGACGGUCUUGCUGUCACUUAUAGAUGGAUCCGCGCUGCAUUAGCUAGUUGGUAAGGUAACGGCUUACCAAGGCAACGAUGCAUAGCCGACCUGAGAGGGUGAUCGGCCACACUGGAACUGAGACACGGUCCAGACUCCUACGGGAGGCAGCAGUAGGGAAUCUCCCGCAAUGGGCGAAAGCCUGACGGAGCAACGCCGCGUGAGUGAUGAAGGUCUUCGGAUCGUAAAACUCUGUUAUUAGGGAAGAACAUAUGUGUAAGUAACUGUGCACAUCUUGACGGUACCUAAUCAGAAAGCCACGGCUAACUACGUG
rnacentral:rRNA from 1 species